GGCCAACCUUGGCCAAACCACGCAGUUCAUCUGUCCUCACAUCUGUUCAUGAACAAAACACCACCCCCUGUUUACAUGGCUGAUUUAAAAUAACAUGACCUCUAUGGUAAUCACUACAUGCAGGUAGAGAUGAACAGGCCAGGCUGGUUGUCACCGCAACCCUGCUACAUCAGUUGCCACCCUUCAUCUUUUUGCCUCGUUCUCUCUUUCUUUCUCUCAUUGCAUCCAUGACAGUCUCACAGAUUCCACUCCUGGCAGUUUAUCUAACUCCACAGGCCUCCUUCAUCACAACAGAUCUCCAGCUGUCAUAGCAGCCUUCCUCCUAGUGACCACAGCGAGAAGGGUUCCUCACCAACACACCAGGCCCUCCGAGGAAGCAGGAAAAGCGGCGCUCCAUUUUCCCUCACUUUCUGCCCUAUUUUGCUAGACUCGUAUCAGCACAGGUAAUACGGAC
rnacentral:lncRNA from 1 species